rnacentral:lncRNA from 1 species
UUCAAUAAAAUUUGAAUAAAAUCACAUAAAUACAUUUAAAAUAAGAAUUUAUUUAAUUUGAUCUUUAUUUGUUUCAAUAAAGCAUACACUUAACGAAGAUACACACAUUUACAAAAGUAUAGAUCAUAGUCAUGCACGCAUACCCCAGUACCUGUGUGCAUAUAUCUACCUUUACCAAUUUCAUCGCAACAAAGACUCACCGCAUAUAUCUGUG